AUGGAAGGCUUGAAACCCAUCGUCUUGGUUAACUCCCUCAAAACCGUCGAAAAGGCGGUGAUCCUCUGGCACAGUAACCGGAGCGGCCUUCGCCUCGUCCUCGUCGGAUUGUUUCUGCUCAACCUGGCGCUGACGGCGGCGAUGGUGAAGCUGGCCAGACAGCCCGUCAACCUGGAUUCUGUGCGGCCCUUCUUCGAAAUAGCCGUCAACUCGACCACCACGGGGGUGGGAGCCGGGGCGGACGCCUCGCUCUCCUGGCAACCCAGAUCCUUUGCACACGUAGGCCUAGGGGAAUUCUUCACCGUGUUAUCAAUGAGUGCGGCCAUCAUUUCCUUCUCCUACACACGUAACCGUAAUCUUCCAGAUAACGGGUCACGGAGGAAAUUCAAGAGACUGUGCAGUCUCUUAUUUGCCGGUAUUGGCAUGUUCUUCUACGUAUCAGCAGUUGUGGACUAUCUUGACCUGGACGAUCGCAAGUCCCGCUAUUUCCAAGAACUCUUCGAAUUCUUAUACAUGCUCACCAUUGUUGUUGCUUCAAAAGAAUACACAUCUGGGUUGCUCUCUGCAGCCAACAAGGCAUGUUUGCUCGCCGGGGGAAAGUUCUUGGAGAUAAUUGUGUUGGGUACAAUGACUUUGGUCGUCCAGGACAGUCUGGAUGAUAUCUACGUGGAUGGAAUGCAUUUAUUAUAUCGAAAGGAGCAAGAGGAGACAUCUGACUUAAGGAAGGGCACGGUCGCUAAAAUCUUCUUGAUCUCCAUCGCCCCAGCCUUGCUCACUCUCGUGCUGCAGGUAUUCCAAUGCUCGGUGAUCUUGGCGUUUUACGGUGAUGGCAGACUCCCAGAGGAACAGCAGGGCGAUGGCAACGAUUCCUCGGACGAUGGCGGGAGUGACGGCAGCUCGAGUGAUGGAGGCAAAAAGACCACCUAA
rnacentral:rRNA from 1 species